rnacentral:rRNA from 1 species
GAGUAACGCGUGAGAACCUGCCUUCAGAAUGGGGACAACAGUUGGAAACGACUGCUAAUACCCAAUGUGCCGAAAGGUGAAAGAUUUAUCGUCUGAAGAUGGGCUCGCGUCUGAUUAGCUAGAUGGUGGGGUAAGAGCCUACCAUGGCAACGAUCAGUAGCUGGUCUGAGAGGAUGAGCAGCCACACUGGGACUGAGACACGGCCCAGACUCCUACGGGAGGCAGCAGUGGGGAAUUUUCCGCAAUGGGCGAAAGCCUGACGGAGCAAUACCGCGUGAGGGAGGAAGGUCCUUGGAUUGUAAACCUCUUUUAUCAGGGAAGAAAAAAAUGACGGUACCUGAUGAAUAAGCAUCGGCUAACUCCGUGCCAGCAGCCGCGGUAAUACGGAGGAUGCAAGCGUUAUCCGGAAUUAUUGGGCGUAAAGCGUCCGUAGGUGGUUUUGCAAGUCUGCUGUUAAAGAAUGGAGCUUAACUCCAUAAGAGCGGUGGAAACUGCAAGACUAGAGUACAGUAGGGGUAGCAGGAAUUCCCAGUGUAGCGGUGAAAUGCGUAGAUAUUGGGAAGAACAUCGGUGGCGAAAGCGUGCUACUGGCUGAAACUGACACUGAG